UCGGGGAAAGUUGGGGCUUUCCUGCAAACAUCGGCAGGUGGUAAUUACAUUCAGAUCUUUGGGCUUCUAGGCCAGAGAUCUUUCCAGAAUACUCUGGUUCUCCCCAAGCACACACACCUCUGGAUUUAGAGGACAUAGCACGGCAAAAGGGGCCUUCAAAGGCAUCUCAUGGCAAGGGCUCCAUGCCGCUACAGACCUUGCACAAGGCUCCACAGUUCCUGUCCACUCUUCAUGGAGUCCCUCAGCUGCUGUAUGGAAGAGGGACUACCUUUUCCUCAGCUCCAGGUCAGGGGCUUGCCUCUCAGUCCCUGAGAUGCAAGGAGUACUUCCCAAGCCAACCUUACCCACCACUGCAGGCUACCAGAGGAAGCCCAGCCGGUCUCCGCAACCCCCGUGGGUGAGGUGGCUGUCAUUCAUGAUCUCCACCUGCUUCCAGCCCUUUGCUCUCAAGGAGAGAGAGAUGACAUAGCCCUGGCCACUGACAUGAACUCUAGUGAGUCAGACCCUGCUGUAGUGCUUGACGUCAUCAGGGCAUGCACCAAUCACAGGCUCUGUGUCUCUGAGAUAGUUUCCUUAUAGGAAAGGAUUGCUGCCCACGCUGCAAACUUCUCUUUCUACUUGUUUAAGAGAGGUGAGCCCUAGGCCACAUUCAUGUGGGUGGAGAAGUCCAAAUCAGGUUUCAGUCUGCCCCCCACCCCCGUUUCCCUUGCUUACUAGCUAGCAAGCUUGCACCAGCACUCACUAGCUCUGAGCACAGGGAAAAGGUGAUGACCAGUUUGCAGGGUCAAGCCUCAAACUAGAUUUAAACCUCACUAACCUCCUCAUGGGCACAGGGUUAGUGCUUUCCGACUCUUCCUCCAUCUCCACCAGCGUUACUUCUGCCCCUGUUUACACUCACCACACUGAGUCUUUGCCUUCUGUGUCCUUGGAGCCCGCUCCGCUCCUUAGCCCAGUGUCUGGUUGAGUGGUCAUUUCACUGGGAGCAGUCAUUUAUCCGGGAGGGGGGCAUGCCUCCUGAAAAGGGGUUCUGUUAACACCACUGCUACUCAGAUCUUUGAGACAGGGCCUUUGUCAUGUAAGGAGGGCACCAAAAGAUGGCAUAGCCUCACCUAGAAAUCCAUCAUCAGCGUGUUACAGCACAAGACACCAAGAAGAUCCACUCUGGUCUCUGAGUCCAGUUGUUGCCACAGAAAACAGAUUUCCAAAGCUGUGAGUAUGGCUGGAAGGGCUGACUGCAACCCUGGAAAGGUAGGAGACACUUUGAUAGGCAGGAAUCCUCAGAGUUCAAGCCCAUCCUGAGAUCAGGAGUGACUCUAUAAGGCUUUCCAUACUCAGUGCAUAGGACAGCUGGAAGGAAUCUCAGAUUAAGAAAGUGUGGCUAAGAAAGUUGAUAAAGCCCAGCUGUUGGAAGGAGAAUCGGAUACAUUUGCUCAUGUGCACAUGCAUACACACAUGAGUAUACACACUCGAGCACUCCAGUGCACGCACACGUGCAGGCACACACACAUGUCCACUUACGCUCAAUCUAUUAUCUCUAUUCCAUCCAGUCUGAAAACAGGAAAAACCAUGUCUUCCAGCCCAACCACACAUACCUAGAGACAUCUAGCCUGCUGACUCUGUGUCCACAUGCCUUGCAAACCCCCUUCGUAUCUGGUGGAUAGCAAGCCCAGGUAGGUCCUCAUGCACAUUUCUUUUUACUACUGCAGAAGCCAUCUGACUUCUGUUCCAGCAGGAAAGACGCCACAGAUAUUGCGCACACACCCCCUCGUGGCCAAGUUUGGAAGCACACGCCCCCAAAAGUGUUGCGUGAGAGCCUCUUGGGUUUUGCCAGGGCUCUACCGAAAAGAAUUCCAGGUAGGACUGUAAUGCCAGCCAGAGAAGGAAAAGAAAUAACUGUGAUUGCAACGUGAAGAAAAUGAAAGGGGAAGAAGUAAUGAAAACGGGAAGGAGGAGAGGAAAAGGGGAAGCACGGAAAGGGGAAGAACAAAGGGAAGAAAAGGAACAAUGCAUAGAAAAGCUGAGAAGCACGAGGUCAGGGACGCCUUCCUGUCUUCAAAGCUCUACUCAUUGGAGAGUGAUCUGCAAUCAAUCACCACAUCGAUGAGAAAGCUCAAUGAUCUCUGGACAGUUACACAUGGCUGGCAAAUUUGAUCCCUUUCCCACUGUGGGCAUCGUGACUUCAUCCCAGACAAGAAGAAGAGGAAUCAUGAAGAACCAAAGAGUAAAUGGUUAGCAUUCUUUUCUGCUAAUGAGAUGCUUUCCUGAAGCCCCAUGAAGUAUCAUUAAAGUCCAUCACCGAGGAAAGUCAAGGCAGGAACUGAAGCAGGAAUCUGGAGGCAGGAAUUGAAGCAGAGACCACGGAAGAAUGCUGCUUACCGGCCUGCUCAGCCUGCUUU